rnacentral:rRNA from 1 species
GAUGAACGCUGGCGGCGUGCUUAACACAUGCAAGUCGAACGGAAAGGCCCAAGCUUGCUUGGGUACUCGAGUGGCGAACGGGUGAGUAACACGUGGGUGAUCUGCCCUGCACUUCGGGAUAAGCCUGGGAAACUGGGUCUAAUACCGGAUAGGACGAUGGUUUGGAUGCCAUUGUGGAAAGUUUUUUCGGUGUGGGAUGAGCUCGCGGCCUAUCAGCUUGUUGGUGGGGUAAUGGCCUACCAAGGCGUCGACGGGUAGCCGGCCUGAGAGGGUGUACGGCCACAUUGGGACUGAGAUACGGCCCAGACUGCUACGGGAGGCAGCAGUGGGGAAUAUUGCACAAUGGGCGCAAGCCUGAUGCAGCGACGCCGCGUGGGGGAUGACGGCCUUCGGGUUGUAAACUCCUUUCGCUAGGGACGAAGCGUUUUUGUGACGGUACCUGGAGAAGAAGCACCGGCUAACUACGUG